rnacentral:misc_RNA from 1 species
AUCAAAAACCAUCGACUCCAUUCUUUGGAAUCGGAUCUGGGCUUUCGCGGGAUCCUCCCCGCCGGCCUGAAAUUGAAUCGCGCGUCGUGUUAUCUUAGAUCUGCCGAAUUUCGUAUUUGGCAAGACUUUGAAGGACUCCCUAAAGCGUCAUAGUUGGCUGCGCCAUCUUUCGCUGAUUUUGGGAGUUGUGCGCGCCGCGCGUUGCUUUUCUCUGUGCUAGAGAUUUCUCGCAUAAGAAAAAAUUUUGAA